GAUGAACGCUGGCGGCGUGCCUAAUACAUGCAAGUCGAGCGAACAGACGAGGAGCUUGCUCCUCUGACGUUAGCGGCGGACGGGUGAGUAACACGUGGAUAACCUACCUAUAAGACUGGGAUAAGUUCGGGAAACCUGAGCUAAUACCGGAUAAUAUAUUGAACCGGAUGGUUCAAUAGUGAAAGACGGUUUUGCUGUCACUUAUAGAUGGAUCCGCGCCGCAUUAGCUAGUUGGUAAGGUAACGGCUUACCAAGGCAACGAUGCGUAGCCGACCUGAGAGGGUGAUCGGCCACACUGGAACUGAGACACGGUCCAGACUCCUACGGGAGGCAGCAGUAGGGAAUAUUCCGCAAAGGGCGAAAGCCUGACGGAGCAACGCCGCGUGAGUGAUGAAGGUCUUCGGAUCGUAAAACUCUGUUAUUAGGGAAGAACAAAUGUGUAAGUAACUAUGCACGUCUUGACGGUACCUAAUCAGAAAGCCACGGCUAACUACGUG
rnacentral:rRNA from 1 species